UAGGGAGUCAUUUCAGGAGAAGAUCUCAAUCCAUCCCAAUGCUGAAAAGGGCCUGGCACCCUCUUCCUUUUUCCAGUUGAGUAAAUAUUUGUUGGGGCAGGUGCAGAAUGAGACCACCAGCCAGCCCCAUCCUAGGGUCCUGGGCUUGGGACUAUGUACACAACCUACAACUACCAGUCCUUCUAGGCUUAGAGCUCCAAAUGGGGACUCACCAUGAAGGGGUUAAGGAGCCCAGUGGAGACAACAGAGGCCCCAAGUGUGGAGGAAGACAUUUCUGCUAAGCUUGUUCAAUCUCUGUGGAAACAUAAGAGCACAGAAGUCCAGUUCUCACCAGGACACACAUUUGGACAGACCAGGCUCCUCAGGUCUCCACAAUGCCCAUCCCUCCUCCUUGCCUGCUGCUGAUUCUAAUGCUGGGACUCACAGGUGAGCAUUCCUUGGGGUAGAUCCCCUCUCCCUGCCCCCUGCAUCUCCCCCUACCCCUGCACUUCUAGAGUUUCCAUGUAAACUUGGGUGUGCCCUUCAGGGCAGUCAGAACAGGUCAAGGACUGGGCAUUAUCCAGAGCAUGAAAUCAUGGAUCUGAGCAUUUCCUUUUCUGGAUCCAUUUUCUGCAACUGGUUACAAGACUCAUCAAAACAGAUGAUACUUCAAAACUGACAAUAACAAGAUUAUGUGCCUUAAUUAUCCCAGGGUGAUAAUUGACUAUUACUCCUAAACUGAAAAUGGGGAAACUGAGGCAAAGAGAAUAACUUGCCCAAUGUCACUUACCUAAGGCAGUGGAGAACAGGAUUUGAGUCCAGGCUGUUCAUCUUCAGAGUUGAUUCUUUUAAGCACAUUAUGCAGCUCAGCUUCUCAGAGGAGGCUAAUGGCAGAAAAGAACAGGAAAAGCAAAUAGUAUAUUCGUCAUCACCCAUCCUGCCACUCAAAGCUCACCAGAGCUUAAAUCUUGCUACGUGUACUUCCAAACUUUUGUUAGCGAUGUGUUGGUUGUUUCCUAUGUGCUAAAUUGUUUACUACUUUAUUUUUUAAUUUUUUAUAGCAGAUCUUUUUUAAAUUUUAUUUUAUUUUUUAAAUCAUUUCCCCAAUUUUUUUCCUACU
rnacentral:lncRNA from 1 species